rnacentral:rRNA from 1 species
CAAGAGCGUAUGUAAAAGUUGUUGCAGUUAAAAAGCUCGUAGUUGAACCUUGGGUUUGGUUGGCCGGUCCACUUUUUUGCGAGUACUGGAUUCAACCGAGCCUUUCCUUCUGGCUAACCAGUCGUUUCGGCGGCUGGCGAACCAGGAUUUUUACUUUGAGAAAAUUAGAGUGUUCAAAGCAGGCAUUAGCUUGAAUAUAUUAGCAUGGAAUAAUAGAAUAGGACGUUAUGGUUCUAUUUUGUUGGUUUCUAGGACCAUCGUAAUGAUUAAUAGGGACGGUCGGGGGCAUCAGUAUUCAGUUGUCAGAGGUGAAAUUCUUGGAUUUACUGAAGACUAACUACUGCGAAAGCAUUUGCCAAGGACGUUUUCAUUAA